rnacentral:rRNA from 1 species
UAGUCGGACGAGUUUAGACCCGUGGCGGACAGCUCAGUAACACGUGGCCAAACUACCCUGNUGGACGGGGAUAAUCUCGGGAAACUGAGGCUAAUCCUCGAUAAGGCUUCCAUCCUGGAGUGGAGGAAGUCCGAAAGUUGCGCUGCGGCACCACAGGAUGUGGCUGCGGCCGAUCAGGUAGACGGUGGGGUAACGGCCCACCGUGCCAGUAAUCGGUACGGGUGAUGAGAGUCAGAGCCCGGAGACGGUAUCUGAGACAAGAUACCGGGCCCUACGGGGCGCAGCAGGCGCGAAACCUUUACACUGCACGACAGUGCGAUAGGGGGAUUCCGAGUGCGAGGGCAUACAGCCCUCGCUUUUCUGGACCGUAAGGAGGUCCAAGAAUAAGGGCUGGGCAAGACCGGUGCCAGCCGCCGCGGUAAUACCGGCAGCCCGAGUGAUGGCCGAUAUCAUUGGGCCUAAAGCGUCCGUAGCUGGCCAGACAAGUCCGUUGGGAAAUCCACGCGCUCAACGCGUGGGCGUCCAGCGGAAACUGCCUGGCUUGGGGCCGGAGGACUCGAGGGGUACGUCCGGGGUAGGAGUGAAAUCCCGUAAUCCUGGACGGACCACCGGUGGCGAAAGCGCCUCNAGAGGACGGAGCCGACAGUGAGGGA